rnacentral:lncRNA from 1 species
AGCAGGACUGUUCUGCUCUCAGGAGCACGGAGGCUCUCGUGCUUCUGAGCCGUUUUCGAUGAUGAAAUUUUCGAAUCGACGAUCGGCUCUGUUAGACUUGAUCUAGCGUAUUUGAAGGUUCUAGAAAGUAAUUUUUACGAUUUUUUGAUAACAUUUACCUAGCAAUCAAAAGGAUUCAAAAUCAAUAAUUUUUAACGGCUGAAAAUAAAAAUCCUAUAAAAAGUGGUGAUAGAGUACUAAAAUUUUCGAUCAAAAAUAUUGAUCUUGUUGUAGAUAGUAUAAAAAAUUUUGUAUCAAAAUUUCAUCUGAUUUGAAUACUUCUACACCGUUAAACUUGAAAAUGGCAAAUAUCAACCAUUAAAAAUUAUUGAUUUGAACCCUUUCGAUCACUAGGUAAAUGAUAUAAAAAAAUCACAAAAAUUAUUUUAUAGAACAUUCAAAUACACUAGAUCAAGUCUAACAAAGCCGAUCGUCGAUUCGAAAAUUCCAUUAUCGAAAACGGCUCAGGAGCACGAAGGCCUCCGUACUCCCGAGAGCACAGCAGUCCUGCUCUAUUUUAGACUGGUAUUUUGGAGGAAGAUACGUAAUAACUAAAUAAAUAUGCAAUUUCAUAUAUGGAUAUGAAUGCCCUUAAUGCUUAAAACUUGUUAUUUUCUCACCACUGUAACUAGUAUACUUGAUUAAAGGUUUGAUAAUUGAUAUUUGAUGUCAUAAAUUUGAAGUCUAAUUAUUUCAUAAUUUCAACUAAUUUUAUUUUUAAUUAAAAAAAGAACAAAGCUGGUAGUUUCUUACCUUUCACUUUUAAGAAAGAAAAUUAAAAAAAUACAAAACUUACUAGAACUACAGAUUAUUUUGAUUUUGCUACCUUAAAAAAUUUUGAUAUUUUUUUCAUCAUGCCUUUCAAUUUAUUUGACUCAACUUAGUCGGUGACACUUUGACUUCAAAAUUUAAACUAAUUUUUUACUUUAAUAAAUUUAUAGUUAUAAAAAAAUUAUACAAAAUAUGCUAAUUAAAUUUGUAAAGAUAAAUAUGACAUUCAAAAUUUAAAGUCAAAGUGUUGUUAACCGACUCAAAUCAUUCAGUAAGAAGAUUAGAUAGUAAAAUCAAAAUUUUUAAAAAUUAAGUAGUAAAAUUAAAAUGUUCAUAAUUUGGAUAAAUUCAAUAUAUUUUUACCAGACAAAAAAAAACAAUUUACUUCUUGGAACCAAGUUGAAAUCUAGUAUCCGGUCGUUGGUGCUAACUAUUAAUCCUAAAACCUCAAACUGUUAGAAAUACACAAUUAAUUUAUUCAAAACGUGUAGAUACAGUUCCCACGAGUCUCGAUUAUGACUCGGCCUAACUAGUCUCACGUCACUUCGAACAUAACUUCGCCCAACCCAGCCUCACGCAAUUUCUGUCCUAUUGAAGCUAACACCUAGGCUGCAUUUGGUUUGGUUAUAAGUAAGAACUGUUUAUUCUAAGGAUAGAUACAAGUUCAGAUAUAAGUAGGAACUAGACUAAUUUUGUAUUUGGAUGAAAAUUGAGUUGUUUCUAAGAAUAAACUAAAUAGUGUUUGGAUGAUUAGAUUGGAAUAAGAGCAAUAAGAAUUAUAAUUUUAAAUUAAAAUUAUUUUAUCUAAUUAAUUAGCAUCAAAAUAUUAUUGAAAAAUAAUUUAAUAAAUUUAUUAGCUAUUAGCUAUAAAUAUGGUAUAAAAUAAUAAAAAUAUAUUAAUUAAUUAAUUAAAUAUAAAAAAUAAUUUAACUUUCUAAUUAGUUAGUAAAUUAUUUUAGUUAGAUAACUAGUAAAAAAAAUUAAUUAGAUUAAUAGAAAUAUUAAUGGUCGAUCAAUAUAAAUAUUAGUUUAUAGAUAAAUAUAUUAAAUUAUUAAUAAUUAAUUAUAAAUAAUAAAUAAAUAAUUUUUUUAUUAUGUAAGCAGUGAAUAAUACUUUAAAUAUAUUAAUUAAAUUAAUUAAUAAUUAAUAUCAUAAUUAAAAUUAAAUUUAGAUUUUAAUUAAUCUUGUUCUCACCUUGGAACAAGCUUGUUCAAAAAAAAAGGGCAGAACAACAGUUUCAUUCAUGUACUAGUUUAUUCCAGAAAUUCGAAGCUGUUCUCGGAUACCAAACAUAGUGUUUGAGAAUAAGGAGAGAACAAACGAAGCGAAGUGGGGUAGCAUGCUACCUAUCAUAAAGUAUUUGGUGGUUGAUAUCCGAAGUCUUAAGUUUGAAUCAUAAUUGAUUCACAUUUACAGUUAAAUUUAUUUUUAAAUAUAAAAAAAAAAAAUGCUUAUUCCUCCGUUUGUUC